rnacentral:rRNA from 1 species
AGAGCGGCGGACGGGUGAGUAACGCGUACGAAUCUACCCAGUAGUGGGGGACAACUCGGGGAAACUCGAGCUAAUACCGCAUACGCCCUACGGGGGAAAGCGGGGGACCUUCGGGCCUCGUGCUAUUGGAUGAGCGUGCGUAAGAUUAGCUUGUUGGUGAGGUAAUGGCUCACCAAGGCGACGAUCUUUAGCUGGUCUGAGAGGAUGAUCAGCCACACCGGGACUGAGACACGGUCCAGACUCCUACGGGAGGCAGCAGUGGGGAAUUUUGGACAAUGGGCGAAAGCCUGAUCCAGCAAUACCGCGUGCAGGAAGAAGGCCCUCGGGUUGUAAACUGCUUUUGUACGGAACGAAACGGCGCGCUCUAAUAAAGUGCGCUAAUGACGGUACCGUAAGAAUAAGCACCGGCUAACUACGUGCCAGCAGCCGCGGUAAUACGUAGGGUGCAAGCGUUAAUCGGAAUUACUGGGCGUAAAGCGUGCGCAGGCGGUUUUGUAAGACAGGCGUGAAAUCCCCGGGCUCAACCUGGGAAUUGCGCUUGUGACUGCAAGGCUAGAGUACGGUAGAGGGGGGUAGAAUUCCGCGUGUAGCAGUGAAAUGCGUAGAUAUGCGGAGGAACACCGAUGGCGAAGGCAGCCCCCUGGACCUGUACUGACGCUCAUGCACGAAAGCGUGGGGAGCAAACAGGAUUAGAUACCCUGGUAG